UAACUAGCUACGUGGAGG
rnacentral:siRNA from 1 species